AUAAUGGCUAUUCGAAAAAGUUCGUGGCGUUUUGCCGCUAGAUGGAUUUAAUAUGUAUAUCUUUGUUCGCACAUAACCUAUUGGGACACGCUAAAUGCCAUUUGAAAGGAUAGAAGGAACAGGUAUUAAAUUUCUUUAUUGAUUUAACAGUGAUAACAUUUUGAACAUGGAGAUAAAUAAUGAGAAAAUUUGCUACAUUUUACAGUAUGUCACUUCGAUCAAGGCGAAAACAGGUAUCAAGAAAUUUGAUUCCAAUAGGUUAUGUGUAAACAAAGAUAUACAAUGUUAAAUGCCCUCUGGGACUGUACCCGAGCUAGAGGGGGGCCAGCGGGGCCCAAGAGAUGAGAAGUAAGAGAUACUGCAAACAGUGUUAAAAUAAUGCAGGAGUCGUGUAAAACGAUGAUAAGAAGAAUGGAAAUAAGCUAGUAAUAAGUGUUGGAAUGGGUAAACGGUGUUUCAUUUCCUUUGACCUUCGGUUGAAAAUUGACCGUCUCUGUAAAUGUCGUCGCGUCAACUAUGAUGGCGCCAGAUUCUACGUUCAGAUAAAUACUUUGGUACUUGGACGAUAUUCGCUGCAAACGAAAUUAGUCGCAGGUUCGAAGAUUGUACGGGUGUUUAUUUCUCUCUGAAUCGCGUCCCGAAAAGGCAAGGACUUUCUAUCGAACUGUGUCGCGAGCUCUGGAAAGGAUAAGAACCGCUGAUCCAAGAUUAAAAGGAGUACAAGACAACUCGAGGGCGACGGAUGGGAACAAAUCCAGGGUGAAAGAGAACUCGGUCUGUAAAGGCGGUGGCUGCGUGGGAUGUACAGCUCGAUAAUCGUUGAGCAGUCAUGGGCGAGAAUCAAACGCGUGUUCCGCCUGUUGUUUGCUCGUUCGUUACCCAAGAAUCCGUCGACUUCCAAGGUCACCGCCAGGAAGAAGCAUCGCGAAUGGUUAGCCGCGAUUAAUUAUAAACGUAUGACCAUUCUUUGCAAUUAAUCUCUUGGUAUCCAUUCUAUCCAUUGUAAAGCUUGUUUUCCCUAGGUUUUUUUCAAAUAAAACUUUAUUCGUUCCCGGCCCGGCUAUGAAGAAGAUCCGGCUUGAUCCAGCUCGUAGGCCACGAGGGCUAUGAAAUCCUGGAGAAGCAUUUCGUUCCAGGUGCAACGAAGAGUAUCGGAAAUGAUGAUAGGAAAUCGAUGGCGACUUUGAAUUUUCAAUGAACGCAUCCGCUCGACGGGAAAAGAGAUAUCGGAGGAACGAUUGCCACUCGAGGCGAAUCCAUCGUAGCGACUUUUUUCUUUUCUCUUCUUGUUCGCUAAGCGAAAAGAAUUCGUAGAUGAUAGGUUACCUUUCCAUUUCCAAGGAACUCUGGGAAAAUGUAUUCGACUUGGCGAGAAUUGUUCACGUGCACCGCGUUAUUAUCUUCAACGAAGAAACACAAUGUUUAUCGAACGAGUAACGAUUCGGAGCAUGAUUUACGCGGAAGCAAGAAGUAAAAUAGUAGAUUCGAGUUUGCUUCUUUCGCGAACGCGUUGAUCGAUAAUCGCGCGUUGCACGCACGUAGACCAACUACGAAAGUUCAGGAUUAAUUUUUAAGAUAAUUUCGCAUGACAGGGAACGUUUGCCCGGACGAUCAAUCUUUUCGUUGAGAAAAAAAGAAAAUUACCAUACGCGUUGUAUAUAGUUUUUUUCGGAGAGGGUCGUUUCCAAACCGUUCUGCCGCUUUUGAAAAAUCCCCAUCCAAGGAUGGGAAACAUGCUGACCAGAAAAAUGGACUGCUCGCGAAAACAUCAAUCACCGCGGGGAUAAAAGCGUCUCCCUGCGUUGGCAUUUUUAAAGGACGGAUCUAAGCGCGACGAGAUCCCCCGUCCGUUAUACAUUUCUUAGACUUUAAUUUAUUCGGUUUACGUUUCCGACUCGUCCCACUUUCAUACCGCCAGCUGCACUUUCGUAUCAAACAUUCCAUAAACUAUUUAUAGUUGCCUUUGAACGCAAUUUCGAUCGAAAGCGAAACUCAACUUUCGUCUCGAACCUUUUCCCGACGAAGAUGUUCGAGAUUCUCUUGUCCUUUAUUUUGCCCGUCUUUGAAGCGUACAAGGUCCACGUUUUACACUUUACGCUACGAGUGUAGAAAUGUUUUUCUUAAAUCGAAAAGAUACUUUUAUCGUCAAUGAAACUUGCGCGCCUAUUAACUCUUUGCACUCGAGAGGUAACUGUCAGUCACCAUUAGGUUUCACGCAGCAGGUCUACGAUACGUAAUGUUUCUUUAGGUUUAAUUUCUAUAAAAUGAUUGUCGACGAGGUAAAGGUGACCUUAUUCUCAAAUCUAGAUAGCUUACUGUUAGAAUUCAUAGCAAUAGAAUGCUAAGAAACAUCUCGAGUUGCUGGCAGAUACCAGAAAAAAAGGCCUCGAGUGUAAAUGUUUAACACGUUCACGCCGGCGUGUUCCACCGGUGGCUCGAGCUCGCGUGUCUAUCAGACGGCGUGCACCGUUCCACCGAACCCCGAGAAACAAAAAUAACAGCGCCGGCGUGAAUGUGUUAAACAUCAUACGAAGUCUACCGCAGAGAACACUACUUACUCGUGUAAAUAGUAGAAAUCGGUGUUUACAUAAAGUAAGGGGACGCGUUCUAAAAGCUCUUUUGUCUUAUUCUAGAUUCCGAGGACGUUCGAGGAUCUAUAAAGCGAUUCCGAGACUCCCGUACGGAUCCAGUGGGCAAGUUCUUUAUUCCCACUGACGAAACGAACGUGAAUUGU